AGAGGGGGAGGAUUAAAGGAUUUUUGAAAUUCUGCCUAUUCUGUCCUAUAAUCCUGGGAUUUUCGAGUCUGGGAGAGUUUAAAGUGACACGGUGAGCGGGAUAUGGUUGGAAAAGGGGUUGGAACAUAGUCGCGAUUAUAAUGUGACUAUAAUGAGAUGAGUAAGGGCGAAGAGAAAGGUGAGACUAAAAAUUGCAACUUUAAUCCACUUCGCUCGAGUUCUGUUUUGAAUUAUCGAUCUACAUUACAUCUAGCACGCAGAAGAUAAUUCUUCUAUGAGUCAUCUAUUACCUCGAACCUUCUAAUUAAAU